CGUCAGCUCGUGUCGUGAGAUGUGGUUAAGUCCCGCAACGAGCGCAACCCUUAUCCCUAGUUGCCAUCAGGUAAAGCUGGGAACGUCUGGGGAGACUGCCGGUGAUAAACCGGAGGAAGGCGGGGAUGACGUCAAGUCCUCAUGGCCUUACAUCCCGGGCUACACACGUGCUACAAUGGCAGGUACAGAGGGCUGCGAAGCCGCGAGGUGGAGCGAAUCCCAGAAAACCUGUCUCAGUCCGGAUUGAAGUCUGCAACUCGACUUCAUGAAGGCGGAAUCGCUAGUAACCGCGAAUCAGCAGGUCGCGGUGAAUACGUUCCCGGGCCUU
rnacentral:rRNA from 1 species